rnacentral:lncRNA from 1 species
UAAUGUUAAAAUCCCCAAUUUGAAAGAACACUCUAGAAAGUCAGCCUAACACGGCUAAUUCUCAGCAAAUGAAGCAGCAAUUCGUUGAAAAAUACUGCGUGGCGCGAUUCACAAUUAGAGGAAGCAACACGACAGAUGAUUCACUAAUGCUAUGCUACAGCACGACAUCGAUUCGAAAUCGGAUAGAAGGAGAGGGCACAGAGGCUCAAGGCGCGGCGGAGGAUUUAGAGGUGCUGCCGCUGCAACUUCGUCGGCCCAAGCGACACCGCUGUUAACGCGGCCAUGUCUUCGGCGAGGGACAGCGGCGGCUGUCAGCCAAGAGAAAGAGAAAGAGAGAGAGAGCGGGUGGGAGAGGAAUGAGAGAGAGAGAGACCGAGAGAGUUUAGAGAGAGAUUAGGCGUGGGUAUUUUUUAAAAUUUUAAUCUUAAGGGC